AAUAUUGCACAAUGGGCGGAAGCCUGAUGCAGCAACGCCGCGUGCGGGAUGACGGCCUUCGGGUUGUAAACCGCUUUCGCCUGUGACGAAGCGUGAGUGACGGUAAUGGGUAAAGAAGCACCGGCUAACUACGUGCCAGCAGCCGCGGUGAUACGUAGGGUGCGAGCGUUGUCCGGAUUUAUUGGGCGUAAAGGGCUCGUAGGUGGUUGAUCGCGUCGGAAGUGUAAUCUUGGGGCUUAACCCUGAGCGUGCUUUCGAUACGGGUUGACUUGAGGAAGGUAGGGGAGAAUGGAAUUCCUGGUGGAGCGGUGGAAUGCGCAGAUAUCAGGAGGAACACCAGUGGCGAAGGCGGUUCUCUGGGCCUUUCCUGACGCUGAGGAGCGAAAGCGUGGGGAGCGAACAGGCUUAGAUACCCUGGUAGUCCACGCUGUAAACGGUGGGUACUAGGUGUGGGGUCCAUUCCACGGGUUCCGUGCCGUAGCUAACGCUUUAAGUACCCCGCCUGGGGAGUACGGCCGCAAGGCUAAAACUCAAAGGAAUUGACGGGGCCCCGCACAAGCGGCGGAGCAUGCGGAUUAAUUCGAUGCAACGCGUAGAACCUUACCUGGGUUUGACAUGGAUCGGGAGCGCUCAGAGAUGGGUGUGCCUCUUUUGGGGUCGGUUCACAGGUGGUGCAUGGCUGUCGUCAGCUCGUGUCGUGAGAUGUUGGGUUAAGUCCCGCAACGAGCGCAACCCUUGUUCACUGUUGCCAGCACGUUAUGGUGGGGACUCAGUGGAGACCGCCGGGGUCAACUCGGAGGAAGGUGGGGAUGACGUCAAGUCAUCAUGCCCCUUAUGUCCAGGGCUUCACGCAUGCUACAAUGGCUGGUACAGAGAGUGGCGAGCCUGUGAGGGUGAGCGAAUCUCGGAAAGCCGGUCUCAGUUCGGAUUGGGGUCUGCAACUCGACCUCAUGAAGUCGGAGUCGCUAGUAAUCGCAGAUCAGCAACGCUGCGGUGAAUACGUUCCCGGGCCUUGUACACACCGCC
rnacentral:rRNA from 1 species